GAUACCCUGGUAGUCCACGCUGUAAACGAUGGAUACUAGGUGUGGGGGGUCUGACCCCCUCCGUGCCGCAGUUAACACAAUAAGUAUCCCACCUGGGGAGUACGAUCGCAAGGUUGAAACUCAAAGGAAUUGACGGGGGCCCGCACAAGCGGUGGAGUAUGUGGUUUAAUUCGAAGCAACGCGAAGAACCUUACCAGGGCUUGACAUGGGGAUGACCGCUCCAGAGAUGGAGUUUCCUCUUCGGAGGCAUCCCACACAGGUGGUGCAUGGUUGUCGUCAGCUCGUGUCGUGAGAUGUUGGGUUAAGUCCCGCAACGAGCGCAACCCUUAUUGUUAGUUGCUACGCAAGAGCACUCUAGCGAGACUGCCGUUGACAAAACGGAGGAAGGUGGGGACGACGUCAAAUCAUCAUGCCCCUUAUGUCCUGGGCCACACACGUACUACAAUGGUGGUCAACAGAGGGAAGCAAGACCGCGAGGUGGAGCAAAUCCCUAAAAGCCAUCCCAGUUCGGAUUGCAGGCUGAAACCCGCCUGUAUGAAGUUGGAAUCGCUAGUAAUCGCGGAUCAGCAUGCCGCGGUGAAUACGUUCCCGGGCCUUGUACACACCGCCCGUCACACCAUGAGAGUCGGGAACACCCGAAGUCCGUAGUCUAACCGCAAGGGGGACGCGGCCGAAGGUGGGUUCGAUAAUUGGGGUGAAGUCGUAACAAGGUAAC
rnacentral:rRNA from 1 species